rnacentral:tRNA from 1 species
GUUUUAAUAGUUUAAAUAAAACAUAGAUUUUGUAAAUCUAUAAUAAGAUAAUUCUUUUAAAACU